AAACCAUGAUGAGGGAUGUCUCUCUCAUAUUCUUUAAAUCGCUCCCAUGCCUCGAAGAAAGACUUUAUGGAGCCUUUUUGGAAACUUUGGAUCUUGUUUCUCAGCU
rfam:Eutrema salsugineum unplaced genomic scaffold scaffold_11, whole genome shotgun sequence.